rnacentral:rRNA from 1 species
AUUGAACGCUGGCGGAAUGCUUUACACAUGCAAGUCGAACGGCAGCACGGGCUUCGGUCUGGUGGCGAGUGGUGAACGGGUGAGUAAUACAUCGGAACGUGCCCAGUCGUGGGGGAUAACGUAGCGAAAGCUACGCUAAUACCGCAUACGAUCUAAGAAUGAAAGCGGGGGAUCGAAAGACCUCGCGCGAUUGGAGCGGCCGAUGGCAGAGUAGGUAGUUGGUGGGGUAAAGGCCCACCAAGCCGACGAGCUGUAGCUGGGCUGAGAGGACGACCAGCCACACUGGGACUGAGACACGGCCCAGACUCCUACGGGAGGCAGCAGUGGGGAAUAUUGGACAAUGGGCGCAAGCCUGAUCCAGCCAUGCCGCGUGCAGGAUGAAGGCCCUCGGGUUGUAAACUGCUUUUGUACGGAACGAAAAGGCUCUGGUUAAUACCCGGGGCUCAUGACGGUACCGUAAGAAUAAGCACCGGCUAACUACGUGCCAGCCGCCGCGGUAA